CUAGCGCGGGGGUGUAGAAGCUCCCAAGCGUUUGGCUGUUCGCCAAUUAAAAGGGCACGUGAGCUGGGUUCAGACCGUCGUGAGACAGGUCGGUCUCUAUCUGCUGCAGGCGUUGAUACUUGAGGGGAGUUGGCCUUAGUACGAGAGGACUUGGCUGAACGGACCUCUGGUGUACCGGCUUUGGUACCAACUGAAGCGCCGGGUAGCUAUGUUCGGAAGGGAUAAGCGCUGAAAGCAUCUAAGCGCGAAGCCUACCCCGAGAUUAGGUAUCUGCGUGCGUAGCACGCUAUCAACGAAUAACGAAUGCCGAACGAAUUUACGAAUUCGUAUAUUCGCGACAGAUUCGAAAUUCGCUGAUGAGCGCGCUGCGCGCGCGAGGUUUCGUAGGAGAUUACUACGUCGAUAGGCCACAGGUGUAAGGCCAGUAAUGGUUUAAGCCGAGUGGUACUAAUAACCGUUAAUGCUUCUUUG
rnacentral:rRNA from 1 species